rnacentral:rRNA from 1 species
AGGACGAACGCUGGCGGCGUGCCUAAUACAUGCAAGUCGAACGGUCUUUCUAUGGAAGCUUGCUUCCACUGAGAAGAUAGUGGCGAAACGGGUGAGUAACACGUGGGGUAACCCUGCCCAUAAGAGGGGGGAUAACAUCCGGAAACGGGUGCUAAUACCGCAUAGUUUUCUUGAUCGCAUGAUUGAGAAAGGAAAGACGGCCUUUGUGCUGUCGCUUAUGGAUGGACCCGCGGCGUAUUAGUUAGUUGGUGAGGUAACGGCUCACCAAGACGAUGAUACGUAGCCGACCUGAGAGGGUGAUCGGCCACAUUGGGACUGAGACACGGCCCAAACUCCUACGGGAGGCAGCAGUAGGGAAUCUUCCGCAAUGGACGAAAGUCUGACGGAGCAACGCCGCGUGAGUGAAAGAAGGUUUUCGGAUCGUAAAACUCUGUUGUCAGAGAAGAACAAGUUGGAGAGUAACUGCUCCAGCCUUGACGGUAUCUGACCAGAAAGCCACGGCUAACUACGUGCCAGCCGCCGC